rnacentral:rRNA from 1 species
CAGUAGCCGCGGUAAUACGUAGGGUGCGAGCGUUAAUCGGAAUUACUGGGCGUAAAGCGUGCGUAGGUGGUGGUUUAAGUCCGUUGUGAAAGCCCUGGGCUCAACCUGGGAAUUGCAGUGGAUACUGGGUCACUAGAGUGUGGUAGAGGAUAGUGGAAUUUCCGGCGUAGCAGUGAAAUGCGUAGAGAUCGGAAGGAACAUCUGUGGCGAAGGCGACUAUCUGGGCCAACACUGACACUGAGGCACGAAAGCGUGGGGAGCAAACAGGAUUAGAUACCCGGGUAGUCCCUGUCUCUUAUAC